rnacentral:sRNA from 1 species
ACACACAAGAUGAAGGCCUGUGUAGUGUGGGUGUCCAGACUAUGGAUUCUGUACUUGACUACAGUUAACGGUCAGCCACAAUCUGGGAGAACUCUCUUUCCUCCCUGCUCAUUAGUGAACCGCAGAGUUAUCGAUAAUAUUUAUGAUCGAGCCUACCAGCGGGGUUAUGAGGAUACCUUUCAAUCAACAGUGGAGUCAUCGAAGGCUUAUUACAUUAAAGUCCAGUGUCCCACUGACACCUGUGGCCCUGAUGCUAGAGCAAAGGCUGAAGAAGAGGCCAGAGAACAAGCAGAUGCCAACCGACAGGCUGCCAUUGAACAAGCUACAGAGGAGGCUCUUGAACUUUGGAAAACAGAUUUAAUCAAAUGCUUGCCUAUCACUAUCAUUAAUGAUUGUGAUGACAUGCCAGGAUGCACUUAUAAGAAUGGUAUAAAUAAAUGUAUUCCAACAUCAAUAUAACUCAUAGAUAAUCAAGUUAAAAUGAAAAAAAAGUUCUACCUGUGUGAAGAACUUGAUUCACUUGAGCUAAGAAUACAUAUUAAAAUGAUUCUCUUUGACAGUCAUUUUUUUUCUUCCUUAUUGAUGUUAAGAAAUGAUUUAACUCAAAUAUAAUUGAUUUUGCUCAUAUUGAAUAAAAUGUAU